UACGUAGGGGCCGAGCGUUGUCCGGAGUUACUGGGCGUAAAGCGCGCGCAGGCGGCUCGUCAAGCCUGACGUGAAAGCCCCCGGCUCAACCGGGGAGGGUCGUCGGGGACUGGCGAGCUUGAGGUCGGCAGGGGCUGGUGGAAUUCCCGGUGUAGUGGUGAAAUGCGUAGAGAUCGGGAGGAACACCCGUGGCGAAGGCGGCCAGCUGGGCCGGACCUGACGCUGAGGCGCGAAGGCGUGGGGAGCAAACAGG
rnacentral:rRNA from 1 species